CAGAGUAGAAGCCGGCGCGUUAAAGUGUUUUGCGGACGGGGAGUUGCCGCGAAAACGAAGGGUGUUCCGCGAUGCCGGUUUCGCAUCCCGCUGU
rnacentral:ncRNA from 1 species